rnacentral:lncRNA from 1 species
UUCUUUAAAAGGAUCCAGCAGGAGAAUAUUGACAUCCAACUUUCUAAAUUCUGCUUCUGAAAGAGCCUGAAGGCAGAAAGGGCAAAGCACUCUGUUCCCAGCAUUCUAUUCCUUCUCUUCGUGGUUAGCCAGCCACUGGGGGUUCUGGCCAGAGAGAAGAAAAUCAGAAAGUCUGCAUGAAGCUGAAGGAUGCUCCUACACAGUACUCAACAUGUACACAGAGAAGCAUUUCCUAAGCAAAAGCUCAGCAACAAACCUAAAAGGAGCCA